AGAACGAACGCUGGUGGCAUGCCUAACACAUGCAAGUCGAACGCUUUUGGGGCUUCGGUCCCAAAGGAGUGGCGCACGGGUGAGUAGCGCGUGGGAACCUGCCCUGGAGUGGGGGGAUAACCGAGGGAAACUUCGGCUAAUACCGCAUACGCCGGGAAACCGGGAAAGAUUUAUCGCUCUAGGAGGGGCCCGCGUCGGAUUAGGUAGUUGGUGGGGUAACGGCCUACCAAGCCUGUGAUCCGUAGCUGGUCUGAGAGGAUGAUCAGCCACACUGGGACUGAGACACGGCCCAGACUCCUACGGGAGGCAGCAGUGGGGAAUAUUGGACAAUGGGCGCAAGCCUGAUCCAGCAAUGCCGCGUGAGUGAUGAAGGCCUUCGGGUUGUAAACCCCUUUCAGGAGGGACGAAGGUUCGCCGGUUAAUAGCCGUGCGGAUUGACGGUACCUCCACAAGAAGCACCGGCUAACUACGUGCCAGCAGCCGC
rnacentral:rRNA from 1 species